GGAGCUGCCCCACGCCUGCUACCCGGGGGGGGUUGUCGGAGCUGCUGCCCAACCCCUGCCCCGAUGAACCUAUGCUCCUGGACCCCCCAGAGGCCAACGCCAGGACCCAGUGAGGCGGCCUCGCUCCCAGCCGCUCCAGAGAAGGACGAACCCCAACAGCGGAUGUGUACAGAUGCAAAUAGAGAGGAAGUUGGUGAAAUGAGACAUACAAGACAGCUGUUGCUGAUGACAGGCUGUGACACCCAUAGUGGAGAGUCUGAGGUCAUUGGAAAAACUCCCUGGUUCAGGUCCAAAGACAGAGGUGGCUGAGGUCAGGUGAGCAGCAGAGACAAAGUCUGCGAUCCUUCCUCACCUUCAGAUGGCACAGCCUGGGCGGUGAGGAUGAAAGGAUCGUAGUAGCUGUACAUCGCUUUCUUCCAUACCACGGACAUGACAUGCCCCGAAGAAAGAACUUCCACCAUGGGUUCCUGACGGCUGCAGCCAUAGAAUCUGAGAGGAAAGAGAUAGCAGGAAGUGUGAAAGAGGGUGGGAAUGAGGAAAGGAGGUGAGGAAAGGAGAGGAGCGAAGUGGUGGCAAGAGACGGGGAGAGAGAAAAAAGAGGGGAUGAAAUUAUUCAGACCUUUAACUUCAGUAUGUUACUAGACACUACGGCCCAGAUCCUCAAAGGUGUUUAGGCUUCUGACUUUCAUCAAAAUCAAUGGAUAUUAGGAGCCUAAAUACCUCUGAAGCUCUGGGACUAGUAACCAAAUCAAGGAAUAGCAUCGAGAAAAGGGCUCAGAUGAGGGUUGGGGAGCACGUCCCCACCCCUUGUCAGGACCUUCAUCUUGUCUCACACCAGACCACCUUCAUGAGGACUCUGAGACCACAGGGUACCUCUUGUGAUGCUACGCCACAUAUUCUUUAUAGAGAUAUGCUUAUGAUAUGAAUAUGACCUAACUAAGAUGUAUUUUAUGCAAGAUGGGUCAUGUGAGGUAUCA